UAUUCAUGGAAAAGUGCUGAAGAGCAAAGCAGUUGUACUCUGUGCCUAGAAGCCAUAACUGGAAGGUCCAUGGUUCAAAGUUGCCAUGUCUGUGACUUGAGGCUUCACUGUAGAAAGAGAGAGAGAAUGGAUCUGAAUUCCUUACACUCCAUUUGCGGAAGGAUGAUCAUGCUGUCCCAUUUCCCCUAGGACAGGGGAAAGCUCUUGAAAUUAAAGAUGAGGAACCCAUUUCCCGAAGGUGCCUUCAGCUGCCACCGAUGAUCAGACCCAAGUACAUAAUGUAUUGGCCCAAUGGACUGGCUGUGUUUGCUAAGUAAACUCCACAUCCAGUGUGGAACUCAACAUGGGGCUUGAACUCACAAACCCAGAGAUCAAGACCUGAUUUGAAAUCAAGAGUCGAAUGCUUAACUGACUGUGUUACCCAGGUGCUCCUAAUUUUACCUUUCCCUGCUGCCAAGGAAGUAUACGGGAAGAAGUUAUUUUAUCAGUCCUAUAUUAAGGAUGCACAAUGUCAUAAAUCAAUGAAACAGAACAGAAAGCCUGGAAAUGGACCCACAACUAUACGGUCAACUAAUCUUCAAAAAAGCAGGAAAGAAUAUCCAAUGGAAAAAAGAAAGCAUCUUCAAUAAAUGAUUUUGGAAAAAUUGGACAGCCACAUGCAGAAGAAUGAAACUGGACUACUUUCUUACACCAUACGUAAAAAUAAGUUCAAAGUAGAUGAAAGACAUAAAUAUGAGACAGGAAACCAUCCAACUCCUAGAGAAGAACACAGGCAGUAACCUCUCUGACCUCAGCUGUAGCAACUUCUUACUGGACAUGUCACUGGAGGUAUGGGAAACAAAAGCCAAGAAUGAACUAUUGGGACUUCAUCAAGAUAAAAAGCUUCUGCACAGCAAAGGUGACAAUCAACAAAACUAAAAGGCAGCCUAAGGAAUGGGAGAAGAUAUUUGCAAAUGACAUAUCUCAUGAUAAGUGAUUAGUAUCCAAAAUCUAUAAAGAACUUAUCAAACUCAACACCUCCCCCCAAAAUGAUCCAGUUAAGAAAUGGGCACAAGACAUAAAUAGACAUUGUUCCAAAGAAGACA